rnacentral:rRNA from 1 species
AGAGUUUGAUCCUGGCUCAGGAUGAACGCUGGCGGCGUGCUUAACACAUGCAAGUCGAACGAUGAACCACUUCGGUGGGGAUUAGUGGCGAACGGGUGAGUAACACGUGGGCAAUCUGCCCUGCACUCUGGGACAAGCCCUGGAAACGGGGUCUAAUACCGGAUAACACUCCCGCACUCAUGUGUGGGGGUUAAAAGCUCCGGCGGUGCAGGAUGAGCCCGCGGCCUAUCAGCUUGUUGGUGAGGUAAUGGCUCACCAAGGCGACGACGGGUAGCCGGCCUGAGAGGGCGACCGGCCACACUGGGACUGAGACACGGCCCAGACUCCUACGGGAGGCAGCAGUGGGGAAUAUUGCACAAUGGGCGAAAGCCUGAUGCAGCGACGCCGCGUGAGGGAUGACGGCCUUCGGGUUGUAAACCUCUUUCAGCAGGGAAGAAGCGCAAGUGACGGUACCUGCAGAAGAAGCGCCGGCUAACUACGUGCCAGCAGCCGCGGUAAUACGUAGGGCGCAAGCGUUGUCCGGAAUUAUUGGGCGUAAAGAGCUCGUAGGCGGCUUGUCACGUCGGGUGUGAAAGCCCGGGGCUUAACCCCGGGUCUGCAUUCGAUACGGGCUAGCUAGAGUGUGGUAGGGGAGAUCGGAAUUCCUGGUGUAGCGGUGAAAUGCGCAGAUAUCAGGAGGAACACCGGUGGCGAAGGCGGAUCUCUGGGCCAUUACUGACGCUGAGGAGCGAAAGCGUGGGGAGCGAACAGGAUUAGAUACCCUGGUAGUCCACGCCGUAAACGGUGGGAACUAGGUGUUGGCGACAUUCCACGUCGUCGGUGCCGCAGCUAACGCAUUAAGUUCCCCGCCUGGGGAGUACGGCCGCAAGGUAAAACUCAAAGGAAUUGACGG